UGUGUAGGCGGUUCUUUAAGUUUGGUGUGAAAUCUCCCGGCUCAACUGGGAGGGUACGCCGAAUACUGAGGGACUAGAGUACGGGAGAGGAAAGUGGAAUUCCUGGUGUAGCGGUGAAAUGCGUAGAUAUCAGGAGGAACACCGGUGGUGUAGACGGCUUUCUGGACCGUAACUGACGCUGAGACACGAAAGCGUGGGUAGCAACA
rnacentral:rRNA from 1 species